CUGCUUCAGCAGCACAUAUACUAAAAUUGGUACAAUACAGAGAAGAUUAGCAUGGCCCCUGUGCAAGGGUGACAUGCAAAUUUAUGACGUAUUCCACAAAAAA
rnacentral:snRNA from 1 species